GGAUAAUCUGCCCUCAGGUGAGGAAUAAUCCCGGGAAACUGGGGCUAAUGCCUCAUAGGAGACGGGUGCUGGAAUGCUCUGUCUCCGAAAGGUCCGCCGCCUGAGGAUGAGUCUGCGUCCGAUUAGGUUGUUGUUGGGGUAACGGCCCAACAAGCCUUUGAUCGGUACGGGUUGUGGGAGCAAGAGCCCGGAGAUGGAUUCUGAGACACGAAUCCAGGCCCUACGGGGUGCAGCAGGCGCGAAAACUUUACAAUGCGAGCAAUCGUGAUAAGGAAACCCUGAGUGCCUGUCAAUGCAGGCUGUUCUGGUGUCUAACACACACCAGGAGAAAGGGCGGGGCAAGACCGGUGCCAGCCGCCGCGGUAAUACCGGCUGCUCGAGUGAUAGCCACUUUUACUGGGCUUAAAGCGUUCGUAGCUUGGUCGUUAAGUCUCUGGGGAAAUCUUUUGGCUCAACCAAAAGGCGUCUCAGGGAAACUGACGAUCUUGGAACCGGGAGAGGUAAGACGUACUUCGGGGGUAGGAGUGAAAUCUUGUAAUCCCCGAGGGAAGACCGAUGGGCGAAAGCAUCUUACCCAAGAACGGUCCCAAAGUGGAAGGGCACAAAACUGUG
rnacentral:rRNA from 1 species